rnacentral:rRNA from 1 species
AUUGAACGCUGGCGGCAGGCCUAACACAUGCAAGUCGAGCGGUAGCACAGAAGAGCUUGCUCUUUGGGUGACGAGCGGCGGACGGGUGAGUAAUGUCUGGGAAACUGCCUGAUGGAGGGGGAUAACUACUGGAAACGGUAGCUAAUACCGCAUAACGUCGCAAGACCAAAGUGGGGGACCUUCGGGCCUCACACCAUCGGAUGUGCCCAGAUGGGAUUAGCUAGUAGGUGGGGUAAUGGCUCACCUAGGCGACGAUCCCUAGCUGGUCUGAGAGGAUGACCAGCCACACUGGAACUGAGACACGGUCCAGACUCCUACGGGAGGCAGCAGUGGGGAAUAUUGCACAAUGGGCGCAAGCCUGAUGCAGCCAUGCCGCGUGUAUGAAGAAGGCCUUCGGGUUGUAAAGUACUUUCAGCGGGGAGGAAGGCGGUGGAGUUAAUAACUUCACCGAUUGACGUUACCCGCAGAAGAAGCACCGGCUAACUCCGUGCCAGCCGCCGCGGUAA